UACAGAGGGUGCAAGCGUUGUUCGGAAUUACUGGGCGUAAAGCGCACGUAGGCGGUUCGUUAUGUCGGAUGUGAAAGCCCUUGGCUUAACCGAGGAAGUGCAUCCGAAACUGGCGAGCUAGAGUACUAAAGAGGAUCGCGGAAUUCCCGGUGUAGAGGUGAAAUUCGUAGAUAUCGGGAGGAACACCUGUGGCGAAAGCGGCUCACUGGACCACAACUGACGCUGAGGCGCGAAAGCUAGGGGAGCAAACAGG
rnacentral:rRNA from 1 species